rnacentral:misc_RNA from 1 species
GAUGAAGAACGCAGCGAAACGCGAUAGGUAAUGUGAAUUGCAGAAUUCCGUGAAUCAUCGAAUCUUUGAACGCACAUUGCACCUUCUGGUAUUCCGGUAGGCAUAUCUGUUUGAGCGUCAGCAAAACAACCUCUCGGUGGGUCUGUCUUCCGGGACGGCCCCUGCCGGUAAUGGGUUGGAAGGAGGGGUGUAUACCACCCGACCUCCCACCUUAAAUCUGUGUAUGACCGCGAGCUACUUCUGGCUGGGAAUUUACGGAGUGGUGUUUACAUGUCUUCCGAGUCCCGACGGAUACCGCUCCCGCGGCGUUAAACUCGAUGUUGCCCCUGAUCAGGUAACUGUGGUUUGACCUCAAAUCAGAUAAGAAUACCCGCUGAACUUAAGCAUAUCAAUAAGCGGAGGA